CUUGUUUUAUUUGCAAUAGGUAUGCACUGAGUGCAUUGUGACCAUGCUGGGUUAUUGUGGGUAAAGGUGAGAGAAGGCAGGGCACGCAGGGCAGAUGAUUACAUUCCUGCCGGGAGGGCUGGAGAGCCCUUGGAAAGCAGCCUGCAGGCUGAGGAAGGAGGGACUCCGGGAUCUGCCCUCAGGGGCUGCAGGAAGGAGGAACCUUUUCUGAAUUGGCAAGGACCAAAAGAACUGAUUACUAUACAAGGAGUGGCUAUGGUGGUGAGAUUUGUCCUCUGCAAACCAUGACGGUGGUAGCUGGCAAAGGUUUGGUGAAAUAGGCUUUGGCAUACAUUGUUGAUGGGAAUGGUGCAUGCAGUGUUAAAGGGAAUUUAUCUGUCAAAUUUUUUUAAUGCACUUCAAUUUUGACCCAGCAAUUCUGCUUCUAGGAAAUUAUCCAACAGAUAAAUGUGCAAGUGCAAAAUGGCAUAUACACAAAUAUUUACUGCAGCAUUAUCUCAGCAAAAGGCUAGAGAUAACCCGAAUGUCCAUCAGAAGGGGACUGCUUAAAUAAAUUAUGGUAUAUCUGUAUAAUGGAAUAUUAAGCAAUAUUAAAAUAGUGAGAAUUUCA